UUUUAAUUACCAUUUAUACCUAUAACUUUCAGAACAAUAGAAGUCUCCUUGAACACUGAAAAGUCUAAUAUACCAUACCAAUAAAACAGUAGAUGUCUUCUAAAGCACAUUAACAAGUCUCCUGUACCCUACCACAAGGAACAAUAGAUGUCUCCUAAUAAAUGCUACCAAUUCUUAUAUACCAUACCACAUACAAAUGUAAAUGUCUUUAAGUACAUAAAAGUCUCAAGAACCAUACCACAUAGAACAAGUAGAAAUCUCCGCCUAAAACCUAACAAGUCUCAUACAUAUAUACCAUACCACAAGAACAGUUGAUGUGUCCUUAUAGACAAUAACUAGUCUCAUGCAUCAUACCACAUUUAUCUAUAUUUCUAUAGAUGCUUAGAGUAGAAAAGGAAAUGUUCAACUAGGAUGGAACAUAUAUAUCUUGCCGUACAGGAUACUGAUAUCAUACGCAAAACUUUAUAAUAACUAUUCUAAUUUUAUUAACAAACUAGUAUACUAAAACACUAUUGUAUACACAGUAUACUAAAAUCAUAUUCACAAUCAUUUCUACAUCUUUUAUACUAAAUACAUAUGAAAAUAAUAAUAAAUGUAUCAUUUGGCUUUCUAGGGGGCUACUCGUUAAAACUUACAAUAAAAAUAAAAAUAACCAUAUGAAAAAACACUACCUACUCAAAACAAUUUUUAAAUUAAUUAAAAAGUAAAUUGUCUAAAUUAUGCAAUUUAAGAACCUGCAGUAGAGCCCUGACAGGUGAAAAAUUAAUUUAAGAAACCUGACUGGUAGAGCCCAAACAGGUAUAAAUUUGAAAAAUGAGAAUGUCUGCGGUAG
rnacentral:lncRNA from 1 species